GGGUGAGUAACACGUGAGUAACCUGCCUUACACAAGGGGAUAGCCGUUGGAAACGACGAAUAAUACCCUAUGAAACUAUCACUUCGCAUGAAGCGAUAGUCAAAGUGUUAGCGGUGUAAGAUGGACUUGCGUCUGAUUAGCUAGUUGGUGAGAAAAAAGCCCACCAAGGCAACGAUCAGUAGCCGGCUUGAGAGAGUGUACGGCCACAUUGGGACUGAGACACGGCCCAG
rnacentral:rRNA from 1 species